rnacentral:rRNA from 1 species
CUCGACAACGGAUAUCUAGGCUCUCGCAUCGAUGAAGAACGUAGCAAAAUGCGAUACUUGGUGUGAAUUGCAGAAUCCCGUGAAUCAUCGAGUUUUUGAACGCAAGUUGCGCCCGAAGUCAUUAGGCCGAGGGCACGUCUGCCUGGGUGUCAC